UACGUAGGCAGCAAGCGUUGUUCGGAGUUACUGGGCGUAAAGGGUGCGUAGGCGGUCCUGUAAGUAUGGUCUGAAAUCUCCCGGCUUAACUGGGAGGGUGGGCUAUAGACUGCGGGACUAGAGGGUGGGAGAGGAAAGUGGAAUUCCUGGUGUAGCGGUGAAAUGCGUAGAUAUCAGGAGGAACACCGGUUGGUGUAAACGG
rnacentral:rRNA from 1 species